GAUGCUUUAGAGAUAAGCGGAGGUAUUCGGGGAGACAGGUGGUGCAUGGUUGUCGUCAGCUCGUGUCGUGAGAUGUUGGGUUAAGUCCGCAACGAGCGCAACCCCUGCAUUCAGUUGCCAUCGGGUAAUGCCGGGCACUCUGGAAGGACUGCCAUCGACAAGAUGGAGGAAGGUGGGGAUGACGUCAAGUCAUCAUGGCCCUUAUGUCCAGGGCGACACACGUGCUACAAUGGCCGGCACAACGGGAAGCGAGUUCGCGAGGACGAGCGGAUCCCUCAAAGCCGGUCGCAAGUUCGGAUUGAAGUCUGCAACUCGACUUCAUGAAGCUGGAAUCGCUAGUAAUCGCGCAUCAGCCAUGGCGCGGUGAAUACGUUCCCGGGCCUU
rnacentral:rRNA from 1 species